UGAAACAAUAAUCAGUGAUACACUCUUUAGAUCAGGGUUCCUCAGAUCUUGCCCUGGAGGUCCAAUGCGCUGCAGAGUUUAGCUCCAACCCUGAUCAAACUCACCUACCUG